AUGGUUGGAGCUCUUGCUAAAAUUGAGGUUGCCACCAAGCUAUUGAAAGAUGAUGCUGAAAUGGAGGGAGAUCCCCUGGUGUUGGAACAUGAGGUAUUUUCUAUUGCACAUAUUAAGGUUUUGGGCAGUGGACACAAGUUUGCUUCUAUUGGGUUUGUGAACAUGUUUAACGUUGGUGGACUUGGUAAUUUGAAUGCAACAGUUAUGAUUGUUCAAUUUAAGCAAAAUGAUUCAGGAGUAAUUUUAGAACCUUGA